UGUCAUUAUAUUUCAUGUGUAUAGGUACGAUGAUGACAAACGAUGAAAAACUGUGCUUAAAGUGAUUGAUUUUGGAGCAUAUGAAGAUUAGACGAGGUGACGAGUCGAAGACCACAAAGGAUGAACUAAAAGGAAAAUAAUUUGACUGAAGGGUCCGCUUUUCUUCCACAUCGCGUGAAGAAAGCGGACAAAACCAGCUCCAGGCAUUAUCAUCAAGCCUUCCUUCCGCAAUGCGGAAGGAAAGCGGGGUUCUGCGCAAGCUUUCCCGGUUCGACUAGGAUUAGGUUUACUUAUUUUUUAUUUUUACCCUAGACUAUAUAUAGACGUUUUAUUAGCUGAAAAUGGUGUGCUGGGAUUAUUCAAAGACUUGUAAGCCACCGUUCUAUUUUCUCUCUCUAGGUUUAUUUUAUUUUUCAUCUUUUUCAACCCUAGAUUAUUCAUGAAUUCUUUUGUCUAUGAUCGAAUCAUGAGUAGCUAAACUUCUUAAUUCUAGGGUUGUGGCGAAAGACUUGAAAGUUGGUUUGAUGACAAUUAUUAUCUAUUGAUU